rnacentral:tRNA from 1 species
GGGGGCGGAUCGGGUCUGGUGGCCUGCACGGACUUCAAAUCCGAUGGGACGCAGGAAAACCCUGCGUUCGGUGGGUUCGAUUCCCACACGCUCCC